rnacentral:rRNA from 1 species
UACGAAGGGGGCUAGCGUUGUUCGGAAUUACUGGGCGUAAAGCGCGCGCAGGCGGCUAUCCAAGUCAGUGGUGAAAGCCCGGAGCUCAACUCCGGAACUGCCAUUGAAACUGUUUAGCUUGAGGAUGAGAGAGGUGAGUGGAAUUCCCAGUGUAGAGGUGAAAUUCGUAGAUAUUGGGAAGAACACCUGUGGCGAAGGCGGCUCACUGGCUCAUUACUGACGCUCAGGCGCGAUAGCGUGGGGAUCAAACAGG